UGAUGGCGGCUGGGGUGGCUCCGGUGUGGGCCUCUCACUCCCCUCAUCUCCCGCGGCCUCACCCGAGGGUCCCCCCGCACCCCUCCUCAGAACGGCGUGCAGUAUACAUCGGGGCGCUGUUUCCCAUGAGCGGGGGCUGGCCGGGGGGCCAGGCCUGCCAGCCCGCGGUGGAGAUGGCGCUGGAGGACGUUAACAGCCGCAGAGACAUCCUGCCGGACUACGAGCUCAAGCUUAUCCACCACGACAGCAAGUGUGACCCAGGGCAAGCCACCAAGUACUUGUACGAACUACUCUACAAUGACC
rnacentral:lncRNA from 1 species